rnacentral:rRNA from 1 species
UACGUAGGGUGCGAGCGUUGUCCGGAUUUAUUGGGCGUAAAGGGCUCGUAGGCGGCCUGUCGCGUCGGGAGUGAAAGCCCACUGCUUAACGGUGGGUCUGCUUCCGGUACGGGCGGGCUAGAGUAUGGCAGGGGAGACUGGAAUUCCUGGUGUAGCAGUGAAAUGCGUAGAUAUCAGGAGGAACACCGGUGGCGAAGGCGGAUCUCUGGGCCUUACCUGACGCUCAGGUGCGAAAGCUAGGGGAGCGAACAGG